rnacentral:rRNA from 1 species
UACCCGCAGCACAAGUGGUGGUCAUUAUUAUUGGGCCUAAAGCGUCCGUAGCUUGCGUGUUAGAUGCCUGGGUAAAUCGAUGCGCUUAACGCAUCGACUUCCGGGUAGACCGGCAAGCUCGAGACCGGGAGAGGUGUAGGCUACUCGAGGGGUAGGGGUAAAACGCUGUAAUCCUUCGGGGAGGACCAGUGGCGAAGGCGCUACACUAGAACGGCUCUGACUGUGAGGGACGAAGCCCUGGGGCGCAAACCGG